rnacentral:rRNA from 1 species
CCUACGGGAGGCAGCAGUGGGGAAUAUUGCGCAAUGGGCGAAAGCCUGACGCAGCGACGCCGCGUGAGGGAUGAAGGUCUUCGGAUCGUAAACCUCUGUCAGCAGGGAAGAACGGUCACUGUGCUAAUCAGCAGUGAAUUGACUGUACCUGCAAAGGAAGCACCGGCUAACUCCGUGCCAGCAGCCGCGGUAAUCCGGAGGGUGCGAGCGUUAAUCGGAAUUACUGGGCGUAAAGCGCUCGUAGGCGUUAUGUCAAGUCAAGGGUGAAAUCCCCGCGCUCAACGUGGGAACUGCCUUUGAAACGGGCAAACUGGAGUGUGUGAGAGGAUAGUGGAAUUCCAGGUGUAGGAGUGAAAGCCGUAGAUAUCUGGAGGAACAUCAGUGGCGAAGGCGACUAUCUGGCACAUAACUGACGCUGAGGAGCGAAAGCGUGGGUAGCAAACAGGAUUAGAUACCCGGGUAGUC